GUGCACAAUUCGGCAGCACACAUACUAAAAUUGGAACGAUAUAGAGAAGAUUAGCAUGGCCCCUGUGCAAGGAUGACACACAAAUUCGUGAAGCAUUCCAUGUUUUU
ensembl:snRNA U6 U6 spliceosomal RNA